ACAAAUUGAAAACCAUUUUAAAAUAAAAAUUUUUAAAAAUAUUUAAGAAUUUUAAUUUGCUGUAUGGAUGUAUAUUAUCAGCUGAUAAUAUGUGUUCAAGGAUUUUAAAAGUUAUCAAUAGGGCCGUUUUGCAUCCAGUCGUUCGUUCCAUGAGUUGUUCUAUAGUUGUAUGGCUGUGUAACAAAAACAAGAACAAGUAUAUGGUUCUGUUUGAAAUCCACUCGGACAGAUCGAAUCAGUGCAGAGUUCAACCUAAAAUAACCAUGUAUUGUUAAACUGUAUUAAAAGUAAAAAUCUGUGCAAUCAAAAACAAGAACCCGUAUAUCAAUCAUGAAAUGUAUCGACGUAUCGCUGAAAAUAAAGCCAAGUUUCCAGCUCCUAGAAAAGUUAAAACGUCAAAAAAAAAAAUUUAUAAGUCGAAAGUUGAGUUUGGUCCAUGGUACACAGAUCAGUUACAUCAAUUCUGCCAGAUCAUAGGAGUGAAAUUUUUAUUUUGGCCGGGGGUAAUCGUCACUGCGACCGAAAUUGUUGUAGGAUUAUUAUGAAAGUGCCAAAAUUGACAAAAAAAAUACUAAGAUUGUGUCAGCAUUUCCGAAUACUCCUGAAGAAUAGUAGAUAUACUUAUCAACUACUCAGGUCAGAAUUAGACAAAUUUUUUUAUAUUUUAGGACAGCAGUGUUUAUAAAAUAUUAUUUAUUGACAAGCAUUCAGAACAAGUUGAAAAAUUAAUAAUGUUUUCAGUUUUUUUAUUGUUGUUCUUAACACUUGCCAUGUAAUAAUAGAUAUUUUAAAACACGCUGCUAUCCUAAAAUAUAAACAAAUUUUUCUGACCCGAAAUGCUAGGUACAGAGUACUAUUUUUCAGGAGUAUUCGAAUAUUAUUGGUUCUCAUUAAAUUUUAAAAGUAUUUGUAUUAAAUGUCUAUUAAUUUAUUAUUCUGGUUUCUGAGAAGAAAUAAUAACCAGUGAAAAUUUACGAACCAUAAAUAUGUUUUGGGGGGAGGGUAACCAUGGUAACAUAGUUAUGAAAAUCUGUCAAAACAAAUAAAGACAUAUUUAUGUUAAAAACGAAUAAAAAUUUAAUAUUUCGUAUGCCUAUAAAUAGCUCAAACAUUCAGUGAAAAUUGAACGUACCUAUCUACAGUAAAAAUACGUCAUAAUCGUUUUCUUUAACUUUUUAAUUUUUUUCUGACACUUAUGAAAACUUCCUCGAAUUUUCUAUUUUGACCUCUCAAAAGUAUCAACUAAAUUCAC